CUGGUCUGAGAGGAUGACCAGCCACACUGGAACUGASACACGGUCCASACUCCUACGGGAGGCAGCAGUGGGGAAUAUUGCACARUGGGCGCAAGCCUGAUGCASCCRUGCCGCGUGUAUGAAGAAGGCCUUCGGGUUGUAAAGUACUUUCAGCGGGGAGGAAGGMGAUGCGGUUAAUAACCGCGUCKAUUGACGUUACCCGCARAAGAAGCACCGGCUAACUCCGUGCCAGCAGCCGCGGUAAUACRGAGGGUGCAAGCGUUAAUCGGAAUUACUGGGCGUAAAGCGCACGCRGGCGGUCUGUUAAGUCAKAUGUGAAAUCCCCGGGCUUAACCUGGGAACUGCAUUUGAAACUGGCAGGCUUGAGUCUUGUAGAGGGGGGUAGAAUUCCAGGUGUAGCGGUGAAAUGCGUAGAGAUCUGGAGGAAUACCGGUGGCGAAGGCGGCCCCCUGGACAAAGACUGACGCUCAGGUGCGAAAGCGUGGGGAGCAAACARGAUUAGAUACCCUGGUAGUCCACGCCGUAAACGAUGUCGACUUGGAGGUUGUUCCCUUGAGGAGUGGCUUCCGGAGCUAACGCGUUAAGUCGACCGCCUGGGGAGUACGGCCGCAAGGUUAAAACUCAAAUGAAUUGACGGGGGCCCGCACAAGCGGUGGAGCAUGUGGUUUAAUUCGAUGCAACGCGAAGAACCUUACCUACUCUUGACAUCCACGGAAUUCGGCAGAGAUGCCUUAGUGCCUUCGGGAACCGUGAGACAGGUGCUGCAUGGCUGUCGUCAGCUCGUGUUGUGAAAUGUUGGGUUAAGUCCCGCAACGAGCGCAACCCUUAUCCUUUGUUGCCAGCGAGUCAUGUCGGGAACUCAAAGGAGACUGCCGGUGAUAAACCGGAGGAAGGUGGGGAUGACGUCAAGUCAUCAUGGCCCUUACGAGUAGGGCUACACACGUGCUACAAUGGCGCAUACAAAGAGAAGCGACCUCGCGAGAGCAAGCGGACCUCACAAAGUGCGUCGUAGUCCGGAUCGGAGUCUGCAACUCGACUCCGUGAAGUCGGAAUCGCUAGUAAUCGUGGAUCAGAAUGCCACGGUGAAUACGUUCCCGGGCCUUGUACACACCGCCCGUCACACCAUGGGAGUGGGUUGCAAAAGAAGUAGGUAGCUUAACCUUCGGGAGGGCGCUACC
rnacentral:rRNA from 1 species